rnacentral:rRNA from 1 species
AUUGAACGCUGGCGGCAGGCCUAACACAUGCAAGUCGAACGGUAACAGGAAGAAGCUUGCUUCUUUGCUGACGAGUGGCGGACGGGUGAGUAAUGUCUGGGAAACUGCCUGAUGGAGGGGGAUAACUACUGGAAACGGUAGCUAAUACCGCAUAACGUCGCAAGACCAAAGAGGGGGACCUUCGGGCCUCUUGCCAUCGGAUGUGCCCAGAUGGGAUUAGCUAGUAGGUGGGGUAACGUCUCACCUAGGCGACGAUCCCUAGCUGGUCUGAGAGGAUGACCAGCCACACUGGAACUGAGACACGGUCCAGGCUCCUACGGGAGGCAGCAGUGGGGAAUAUUGCACAAUGGGCGCAAGCCUGAUGCAGCCAUGCCGCGUGUAUGAAGAAGGCCUUCGGGUUGUAAAGUACUUUCAGCGGGGAGGAAGGGAGUAAAGUUAAUACCUUUACUCAUUGACGUUACCCGCAGAAGAAGCACCGGCUAACUCCGUG